UACAGAGGGGGCAAGCGUUGUUCGGAAUUACUGGGCGUAAAGGGCGCGUAGGCGGCCCGCUAAGUCGAACGUGAAAUCCCCGAGCUCAACUCGGGAACUGCGUCCGAUACUGGAUGGCUUGAAUUCGGGAGAGGGAUGGCAGAAUUCCGGGUGUAGCGGUGGAAUGCGUAGAGAUCCGGAAGAACACCGGUGGCGAAGGCGGCCUGACUGGGCAGUUUAGCUGGACACUGAGGCGCGACAGCGUGGGGAGCA
rnacentral:rRNA from 1 species